rnacentral:lncRNA from 1 species
GUACCACAUCAUUAACUCUGGACCAAGUCGCUGCAUCUUUAUGGCCAUCAUCGGGUUUAGGAAGACUACCAUCAACAAAACAAAGCUUAUUACGACCGUUUAACGCCAUAAGCAUCGAUUGAUGCCAUGAUCCAAAAUCGCUAGCGCCAGUAAGACGAUCUGACACCAACACCAAACCAGAAUGAUCAUUAUUAGUGAGAAAAUAAGGAUUGUCAUAGGAAUCGCGAGUCGUAUUCGCCAUUGAAACGAAGCCGAGAUAACGCGAAGCUUAACAAACGAAAAAAGAUGAAAAAGAGCAAUCGGAGCUCAAAAAAGUUGAAACAAAGCUCGAUCCGAAACAAUCGGAGGUCGAUUCAAAGAAAAACAAGCUCAAAUCAUGAAGAUCGAAGCUCGAAAAAGAAGCAAGGAAUAAGAAAUCGAGUUGCGGAAGGAGAGCGAAUAUGCUCUGAUACCAUAUCAGAUAAGAGAGAAUCAGAAAGUUGUUAUUUCUCAUUAAGCGUAAAAGUGUUUACAUGUACAGUAUAUAUAGUGAAUAAAAUUACAUGUGAGUAAAAAACUAUUUACAUGUAUUACUAUACUCUAAU